GGUCACCUGCACGAAGGAGAAGUGGUAAUGUUAGGGAGAAAAUAACGAUUUCAUCAUGCAUGUGCAAUUUUGUUUUGUUAAGAUGCUAUUAAAAUGAGU